UUGCUUCGGCAGCAGCACAUAGAGUAAAAUUGGAAUGAUACAGAGAUUAGCUUGGCCCCUGUGCAAGGAUGACAUGCAAAUUUGUGAAGCAUUCUAUUUUUUU